AUUGAACGCUGGCGGAAUGCUUUACACAUGCAAGUCGAGCGGCAGCGCGGGGCAACCUGGCGGCGAGCGGCGAACGGGUGAGUAACAUAUCGGAACGUACCCCGUCGUGGGGGAUAACACAGCGAAAGCUGUGCUAAUACCGCAUACGACCUGAGGGUGAAAGCGGGGGACUCGCAAGGGCCUCGCGCGAUGGGAGCGGCCGAUAUCGGAUUAGCUAGUUGGUGAGGUAAAGGCUCACCAAGGCGACGAUCCGUAGCGGGUCUGAGAGGACGACCCGCCACACUGGAACUGAGACACGGUCCAGACUCCUACGGGAGGCAGCAGUGGGGAAUUUUGGACAAUGGGGGAAACCCUGAUCCAGCCAUUCCGCGUGAGUGAAGAAGGCCUUCGGGUUGUAAAGCUCUUUCGGCAGGAACGAAACGGUCCUUUCUAAUACAAGGGGCUAAUGGCGGUACCUGAAGAAGAAGCACCGGCUAACUACGUGCCAGCCGCCGCCGUAA
rnacentral:rRNA from 1 species